UACGGAGGGUGCAAGCGUUGCUCGGAAUUAUUGGGCGUAAAGGGCAGGUAGGUGGUCUUAUUUGUCUAGGGUGAAAUCCCAGGGCUUAACCCUGGAAGUGCCUUAGAAACGGUAAGACUAGAGUUCUAGAGGGGUCGUGGAAUUCCCGGUGUAGCGGUGAAAUGCGUAGAGAUCGGGAGGAACACCAGAAGCGAAGGCGGACGACCUGGAUAGACACUGACACUCAACUGCGAAAGCGUGGGGAGCAAACAGG
rnacentral:rRNA from 1 species